rnacentral:rRNA from 1 species
AUGGAGUGUCACUCCGGCCUGAACACAUAGGGCCGGUAGAGGGAACUGGGUGAACUGAAACAUCUCAUUAACCCGAGGAAAUGAAAGCAAAAGCGACUCCCCGAGUAGCGGCGAGCGAAAAGGGAAGAGCCUAAACCUGACUGGUGUCAAGCCUGGCGGCGUUGCCAGUUGGGGGUUGUGGGACCGAAUGGGAGGAGCGUCAGAUCCUCCACGGAGUUACAAAUCUGUCAGCUAGCAGAAGCGUUUUGGAAUAGCGCGCCAUAGUGGGUAAGAGCCCCGUAAGCGAAAGCUGAGCAGACUCCGUUUCGUGCUCCCGAGUAACACCGGAUCCGGGAAAGCCGGUGUGAAUCUGCGAGGACCACCUCGUAAGGCUAAGUAUACGUAGUCGACCGAUAGCGAACUAGUACCGUGAGGGAAAGGUGAAAAGUACCCCGGGAGGGGAGUGAAAUAGUACCUGAAACCGUUGGUCUACAAUCAGUCAAAGCGUCGUUUCAAACUUCGGUUUGAAGCCGCAAUGGCGUGCCUUUUGAAGAAUGAGCCAACGAGUUACGGUGUGUGGCAAGGUUAACCCGUGAGGGGGAGCCGGAGCGAAAGCGAGUCUGAACAGGGCGUUCAGUCGCAUGCUGUAGACCCGAAGCCGAGUGAUCUAUCCAUGGGCAGUGUGAAGCGGGGGUAAGACCCCGUGGAGGCGCGAACCGACCUAGGUUGAAAACUGGGCGGAUGACCUGUGGAUAGGGGUGAAAGGCCAAUCAAACUCGGUGAUAGCUGGUUCUCCGCGAAAUGCAUUUAGGUGCAGCGUCGUAUGUUCAGUCAUGGAGGUAGAGCACUGAUUAGGUUAGGGGGCCUACAAGGUUACCGACCCCAACCAAACUCCGAAUGCCAUGACUCCAGAGCACGGCAGUGAGACCACGAGGGAUGAGCUUCGUUGGUCGAAAGGGAAACAGCCCAGAUCAUCAGCUAAGGCCCCUAAUUCUGUACUAAGUGGUAAACGAUGUGGGAUUGCACAGACAGCCAGGAGGUUGGCUUAGAAGCAGCCACCCUUGAAAGAGUGCGUAAUAGCUCACUGGUCGAGUGAUCCUGCGCGGACAAUGUAACGGGGCUCAAGUACAGAGCCGAAGCUAUGGGCUUCUGACUUUGUCAGGAGCGGUAGAGGAGCGUCGAUAGGGCUGUGAAGCGGAUUCGUAAGGGUUCGUGGAGCGCUAUCGAGUGAGAAUGCAGGCAUGAGUAACGAGAGAGGGGUGAGAAACCCCUCCGCCGAAAGCCCAAGGGUUCCUGGGGAAGGCUAAUCCCCCCAGGGUGAGUCGGGAGCUAAGGCGAGGCCGAAAGGCGUAGUCGAUGCACAACUGGUUGAUAUUCCAGUACCUCCGUGCCCGCGCCAAGUCCAAUAGUUGCAACGUUGGGGCUGUUCAUCUUUAUGUUGAGCGAGCUGACCGAGCGGCUGGCGGAUAGUUGACGGGGGACGCAGGAAGAUAAGUGAGCCCAGGCGAUGGUAGUCCUGGGGUAAGCGUGUAGGCGGUUCCCGAUGAGAGUUGGGAGCGUAACGCUGAGACGUGAUGCCGAACGACAUACUGUGAAGUCACUGAUUCUAUGCUGCCAAGAAAAGCCCAGCAAUGAGCUGGCACGGAGCCCGUACCCCAAACCGACACAGGUGGACAAGUAGAGAAUACUAAGGCGAGCGAGAGAACUCUGGUUAAGGAACUCGGCAAAAUAGUUCCGUAACUUCGGAAGAAGGAGGACCUGCUUUGGUGACGAGAUUUACUCUCCGAGCUGAGGUGGGUGGCACAGACCAGGGGGUAGCGACUGUUUACCAAAAACACAGCAGGGUGCGAAGCCGUAAGGCGAUGUAUACCCUGUGACGCCUGCCCAAUGCUUGAAGGUCACGGGGAACGGUUAGUUCUUUAUUGAGCGAAGCUGUGAACCUAAGCCCAAGUGAAUGGCGGCCGUAACUAUAACGGUCCUAAGGUAGCGAAAUUCCUUGUCGGGUAAGUUCCGACCUGCACGAAUGGCGUAAC